UAAAAAAAAGAUGUAAAAAUCCAAGGUAAAGAGUGGAAGAGAGAAUUUAAAUUAUAUUUUCCGAAUUAAAAAAAAAAAAAGAAAAUGAAAAACCAAAGAAGAAAUUUCGAGACCUCCUUGUCAUCUGAGAAAACCCAUCUUGGCAAUACAUCGAUUUCCCUUGGAAAAUUCUCUCUUUCUUCGUUUUUGUCAUCUUUCCCUAAAAAAAUAAAAAAAAUAAAAAAAAUUCCUUCCCUUUCUUUCCCUUCUGCAAUCGACCUAUCAAAUUCACCUUCAUCGGAGGGCCCAUCAACCUUUUAGGGUUUCUUCUCCGUUUGCUAAUGAGUUCAUCCAAUCCGCUGAACCAGUACUGGAAUGUGUGGUAUUGCUUAUCUACUAUUAAACUUUAAUGGAAGUCCGUGUCUAUGAGCAUGUUUGAGCUAGUGAUAUUUUGUUCAGAGAAAUAGUGGUUAGUUCUUAAUUCUUGAAAUCAAGCAAAUUUAAAAUUUGAAUUGCUUAUUUUAUUUUAUUUUAUGCCAUUGUUGAAGGGUGGAUAAACAUUAGAAAGGCUCAAUGAAUAAAAUAAGAACAGAAUAUGAAAACUGAGAGAAAUUAACUUUGAAUUACAACCCAUGUUUAUAUGGCAUUGUCAGUAGAAUGAAUUGACAAUGCCAACAAUAUUAGAGAUGUUUCCAUUUCUAUAUCUCCCUUGUUUCCAGAGCUUUUCAAAAGCAGAUUUUAGUUUAAAAUUCAGGGUUUUUGUCAAUGUUCUGCAAAAGAUGGGAUAUUAUUGAAGUUAAAGAACAGUAUUUCCCCUGGUGUUUUAUCUUUGGCAAAUGCCUAUAAAGAGAAAAAAAGGGAACUCUUAGAAUUGAUUAUUAAGCUAACCAUGCUUUACAAUGUGAAGGCUGUAAAACAACAAAGUGCAUCAUCUGAAGUUUGAGACAGAGUACUAUGAAAGGUUAAAGUUGGAUUUAUUCUAAGCUCUGGAUUUACUGUAAGCUGUGGAAUGAAAUUUGUACAAAGUUCAAGUUGGAUUUACAUAAAUAUUUUCAAAUUUUUUUUU